rnacentral:rRNA from 1 species
GAUGAACGCUGGCGGCGUGCCUAAUACAUGCAAGUCGAACGAACAGACGAGGAGCUUGCUCCUCAGACGUUAGCGGCGGGCGGGUAAGGAACAAGUGACUAACCUACCUUUAGGACUGGGAUAACUUCGAGAACCCGGAGCUAAUACCGGAUAAUAUAUUGAACUGCAUGGUUGAAUAGUGAAAGACGGUUUUGCUGUCACUUAUAGAUGGAUCCGCGCCGCAUUAGCUUGUUGUUAGUGUAACGGCUUACCAAUGCAACGAUGCGGAGCCGGCGUCAGGGGGUGAUCGGCCACGCCGGCACUGAGACACGGUCCAGGCCCCGACGGGUGCCAGCAGUAGGGAAUCGGCCGAUAGGGGCGAAAGCCGAACGGAGCAGCGCCGCGGGAGUGAUGAAGGUCUUCGGAUCGUAGUUCUCUGUUACUAGGGAAGAACAAAUGUGUAAGUAACUAGGCACGUCUUGACGGUACCUAUACAGAAAGCCCCGGCUAACUACGUG